rnacentral:tRNA from 1 species
GCGCUGAUAGCUCAGCUGGAUAGAGCAACUGCCUUCUAAGCAGUAGGUCAGGGGUUCGAGUCCCUUUCAGCGCGCCA